rnacentral:rRNA from 1 species
GUCCACGCCGUAACGAUGUCUACUAGUUGUUGGUGGAGUAAAUCCAUGAGUAACGCAGCUAACGCGUGAAGUAGACCGCCUGGGGAGUACGGUCGCAAGAUUAAACUCAAAUGAAUUGACGGGGCCCGCACAAGCGGUGGAUUAUGUGGAUUAAUUCGAUGCAACGCGAAAACCUUACCUGGCCUUGACAUGUAACGAACUUUCCAGAGAUGGAUUGGUGCUCGAAAGAGAACGUUAACACAGGUGCUGCAUGGCUGUCGU